rfam:Triticum aestivum genome assembly, contig: Triticum_aestivum_CS42_TGACv1_scaffold_288463_4AL
CUUCUACUCCCUCCGUUCGGAAUUACUUGUCUCGGAAAUGGAUGUAGCUAGAACUAAAAUACAUCUAGAUACAUCCAUUUCCGAGACAAGUAAUUCCGAACGGAGGGAGUAGAAU